GGGCUUGUAGUCGCCGCCGGGCCGCCCCCUCGGCGCCCCCCGGGCCGCGCUCCCCCCCCGGGGCAGCCCCCGGGGCGGACACCUCCGUGCCGCCGGCGCUGCAAUCGCGGCGGGGCAGCGGCCGGGGCGGCCGGGGCGGUCGCAGCGCUGCGUUUGGACCAAAAUCCGGGCGUCCACCUCCAGCAGCAGCCGUGCAGAGCCCCCGGCGUGGGUUCCCCCCGGGAUGACAGAGGGAACACCUUCGCUGCUGAUAAAUAAAAGAGAAAUAUGCUUCCUGCUCGGCCGCGCUGAUUGCAGCAUCCAUCAGAAUUACUGCGCUGCUGGCAGGCUGUGCGGAGCGCGGCGCUGACAGAUCCCCGCGUGGAGACGGAUGGGACGGACGGGCACUUCAUUCAGGAAAGAUGGGAGAAGUGAAGGAUGUGUUAAAUGGCAAUAACCCCUCCAUGAAGUAUUUCACCGUGUCAGACAGCAGUAAAUGAUGGCGGCUGUAUCCAGCCUUGAUUAUUUCGUGUCUGUUUGCAACCUUCCAUUAAAAAAUGUACCCGCUCUCUAAUUUAGCAACCCUACCCAUAUAUUACCUGCGUGGUCGAUGUGCUACACAAAUGCCUCGGAUAAUGAAAUUAUAAGCAGGAGGAAAUCACAUUUUAAUAGAAAUCCUAUCGGGCAACAUGCCACGCCAAAAUCGCAUUAACAGGGCAAAUUUUGUAGGGUGAGUUAAUUUCUCGUAUUAAACCAGCUGGCUGGAAAAAAACCAGCCGCACCUUCCGGGGCACCUGCCUUUCCUCAGGCUGCACAGCGGCCGUGGCGAUGGUGGGAGCGAAGUGGGAUGCUCGCUGAGGGAUGGUGUGAGCACCCGGCCCCGUGCCCUGCCCCACUGCCCCACAAGGUGCGGGGCAAAAUUCCACUUUCGAGGGUUUUUUUGCUUUGUUGCCACCUCCGUCAUUUUCGUGGAAAGUUGUGUUGCGAUACAUGCAUUCUUCUGAAGCCAAUCUGGGUCUUUUUUCCAAUUUUCCAUAGAAAAAUCGGGCUGUUUUUCAAAGAGAACAAAGCCAAUUUCCAAGCAAAUAUGGGUUAGGCUUUGGUCUGUUUUCCAAUCAAAGGGUUUCUUUGCCUCACAAACAUGCCAAAAGGUUGCUUUCUCGAGUUUCUCUGUGUGAAAAUCACGGUUUCACUGGAAUUGGAGGAAGCAGGGAGUGAAAUCCUCACUGGGGGCUCACGGGGCUGGUCCCCCCCUGCCCAGUGCCACAGGCACGGAGAGCCCAGCUCAGCCCCUGGGUGAAAGCCGAGGGCACUGCUGGCUCCAUCGUGCUGCACGGGGUGCAUCAGCCGCUGGCUGGUGGGGAUCAGGAUGAAUUCGUGUGAAUUCUGUAAUUCCAGGAUCCCUCAGCUUGCUGGAAGCACCCAGCCUGGCCGCAGGGGUGUGGGGUCACAGCGGCCUCAUCGUGCUCCUGGGGUACCUCCACGAGGCAUCACCAGCCCCGGUGCCCCGCGGGGCUUUGCACCCAGAUGGAGCCACGCACGGCGGUGGCCCCGGGACGCCGAGCACCCACUGUCCACGGGGGAAACCCAAAGUUUUGUCGGGCUGCAGGGAGCAGUUGACAGCAGAAGUUGUUGUCUGACAGGAAAAGCAAAGCUCGGCCGCGUUUCAAUGUGCUAUUAAUAACGGGCUGCUGCAGAAAGCGCUUGGCAAGUGGCAGCAGCUCUGAAUUACGAUGAAAACUACUGAUAAUAACAACCACCUGACUACAA